rnacentral:lncRNA from 1 species
GUGGUCAACCCCACCAUGUUCUUCAACAUCGCCAUCAACGGGGAGCCCUUGGGCCGCAUCUCCUUUGAGCUGUUUGCAAACAAGAUUCCAAAGACGGCAGAAAACUUUCAUGCUCUAAGCACUGGAGAGAAAGGAUUUGGUUAUAAGGGUUCCUGCUUUCACAGAAUUAUUCCAGAGUUUAUGUGUCAGGGCGGUGACUUCACAUGCCAUAAUGGCACUGGUGCCUCUACGGGGAGAAAUUUGAUGUCGAGGACUUCACCCUAAAGCAUACAGGUCCUGACAUCUUGUCCAUGGCAAAUGCAGGACCCGAUACAAACGGUUCCUAAUUUUUCAUCUGCACUGCCAAGACAGCGUGGUUGAAUGGGAAGCAGGUGGUCUCUGGCAAGGUGAGAGAAGGCAUGAAUAUUGUGAAGCCCAUGGAGCGCUUUCGGUCCAGGAAUGGCAAGACCAGCAAGAAGAUCACCAUUGCUGACUGGACAACUCUAAUAA